ACCACAGGAGCAGGCCUUGCACAAAAUAGCGUGGAAAGCAAUUGCUGAACCAAGCGAGCUAGUUGAGGCCAGAAGGGAUCGGUACUAGUUUAUCGCUAUAGGGAUUUUCAUGGCUUCCAGCAGCGUACAAGGGAUAACCUCAUCUUCAUCUUCUUCUCCUCCACUAUAUAUGUAUGAUGUGUUCCUUAGUUUUAGAGGCAAAGACAAGCGGAACAACUUUACUAGUCAUCUAUGUUCUAAUCUGGCUCAGAGAGGCAUUAUGGGUAGAAAGUGUCCAGAGAUGAGUGGCUGGGAUUCAUUAAUGAUAUGAAAUAACCAUAAUAAAAAAAAAACAUAUUCUUAAUUAAAUCCUCUUUAUACUAUUAUUGUGAUUUUUUUAAUUUAUUUAUUUAUUUAUCAGAAUGUUUAUUUUUUGAAGAAAAAAAAAGUUAUGAGAGUCAUAAAAAAAAAAAUUAAUGGUUAUAUAAUUAUGCCAUGAAUGUAUAUUAUUUAUGUAAUCAUGCAGUAAUAAAAAGGUUGUGCAGAAAGCCAAAAAUAAAAAUUUAUUCUAGAGCCAACGGAAAUAAAGGUCGCGAAGAGGGUGAUGCCGCUGAUGGUUGGUUCUCUUCCUCCUUGUGAGUAUUUAAUGGUGCUGCAAUUAAUAUCAACCGCAUUACAGUUGAGGCAGGCAUUUAAUGGUGCUUCAGCAGGAAGAAAUAUUGGAUUAUCUCUUGGAGUCUUCGUCUAUGCUAUCUUAAUUACGGGUAGAAAGUGUCGGGAGAUGAGUGUUCAAGCUAUGGUGGCUCCAUUAUCCUAGAGGUUGGAUUCAGUUUUGUUAUACAAGCACUAGUAUAUUAAACAUUUAAUAAAAAUAAGGAUAAAAAUCAAAAUAAAAAAUAAAUUAAAGUAUAACUAAAUUUUUUCAAUUGAAGGGUUAACUGGAAAGAAAAAUGACUUGAACAAAAAUAAAAAUAAAAAAAUAAUAAAGAUAAAAUUGAAAAAAAUAACACAUUAUAAACUUGGAUUGAAUGGUAAGAUUAAAAGCCAAUAAAACUUUUAUAAAAGAGUUAAGGGAAAAAAGAAAAAAAUCCAGAGAAUAUAGACCAAACAAAAAAAAAGAAAUAUAUGAAAAUUCAAAAUCGAAGGACUAAAUUGAAAAGAAAUAACACUUAUACAAAAGGGAAAACGGAAACAAAAAUAUAAAUUGAGGACCAAAUUAAAAACAAUAAAAUAAAAUAAACUUGAAUUGAAGGAUGAAAUUGAAAAAAAAAAUUAUCAUGAAAGGGUCAAUUAAAAAAACUAGAAAUACAAAAAAUAAGAACCAAAUUCAAAAGUAUAAUAUAUUAUAAAUUGGAAUUGAAGGACUAAAUUAAAAAAAAAUAAAACUUUUAUUAAAGGUUCAAUGAUGAAAAUAAAAAAUCAAAAGAAGAAGGACCAAAACAAAAAUACAAAAAACAAAAAAAACCAAUAUGCAAUUUUUGGGGGAGCAAUAAAAAGAAAAGACCUCCUAACAACAAAGCUAUAAUUAUUGAAUUGUUGACGAGAGGGAAAGAGGUGAUUGUAGAGUGGUUGUUGGGGCUGCUGGUAUGGGUGGUGGAUGUUGUGGUGGUUUGAUAUGGCUAUUUGGAUUGGAGUGAAGGAGUGGAGUUGUUGCAACGAUGACAGAGGGGCUAGUUCAUUGGUUAAGGUUUCUGACAAGGUGAGGGCAAUCAAGAAUUGAGGUUUUUGUAUUGAUAGAAAUGCAGAAAAACUCCAAUCUUGAAAGCAAAAAAUGGCAUCACUAGUAGGAAGAGAAGUGUUAUUGAAAGCUAUGGCGGCGGCAAAUUGUGUAUCUUAUUCCAUGGAAAAUUGAAAGGUGCACCAGAGAAGUUGGAAAUAUUCAUAAAAAUCAAAGCUUACAACGACACAAGUUUUAAAGAAUUUGAUUAUUUUAAUAAGGCCUUUCUAUAAAAGUAGUGUUGGCACCUCAAGAAUAAUCCUAAUGAUUUGUGUAGCAAAGUGCUUAAAAAGAUUUGAAUCAAUAUCCCAAAAAGUUGGAUUGGGAAAGAGGUUUCAGACGGUUUGGAAAUUUGAUUUUUUAAAAAAUUAACUUUCUAUAUUUUUAAAUUGUUUUAACAUACUUAAAUCAAAAUUAUUUUUUAAAAAAUUAAUAAAAAAAUUAUUUUAAUAUAUUUAAAAUAACAUACUUCAAAAAAAUAACUGUUAUUAUAUAUCCAAGCACCGUUGUUAAAAGGUUUGAGAUGAGAUAUUGGGAAUGGGAGAAGAAGUGGUAUUUGGGAUCGGAGAGGAAUAAAAGUUGGGUUGUUUGUGAUAAAAACAUUAAAGUUGGAGAUUCUAAACUCAAUUUAAUAUGAUUUUUUUUUUGUUUUUCGUUAAUUAGUUCCAGUUCAUUGGGUGGUGGCUAAGUUUAUUUUUUAAAAAAUCAAUGGGAAUUUAUAAUAUUUAAUGUAAGAGUUUUGUAGUUAUUAGUUUGAAAAUUCAUUAAAAAAUACUUUUCAACUGUGAUGUGUGUCCCAACCCCUGCUCUUGACAGGAAGGUGCCUCUGCUGCCCAGUGCGCGUUUGAUAUCCCUUUCAUUUCUUUUUCUACUUUUUCUCCACCGAAACUCCAUCUUCUUUACAGUGUUAAGAAAAUCCAGGGCUUUGGAAGUUGGUUACUAAGAUACCAGAAGAAGAAGAAAUAUUGGGCUUGGCUGGAUCUAAAAUGUCAUAGAAACUUUUUAUUGUAUCUAAAAUGUCCUUAUUUACUUUUUGAAAAAGAUAGUCAUAGGAAAAACUUAAAACAUUAGAGAAAUAAACAUGAUUAUUUAAUUUAAUUUUGUUUUUGAGUUUAUUUUCUUAAAAAUAUUUCUAUAAAUUCUUAUUAUUUUCAUUUUAACUAUUUUUAUCUAGACAAUAAUUAAGGGCAUUAUGCGUAUUAAAAUAUGUUCCUGUAAAAUCGCCAAAUUUUUAAAUAAUUCUUACAAUUUUACAGUACUUCGCACGAUUGUUGUGAUUCACCUUAGAACUUUUGCAUGCACAUAUUAAUGCACGGUUUAUGGUGUUUUUUUCAAGGUCAGUUUUAAAAUUUUGUUGGAAAGUUCUUGGAAUGCAAAAAUAUUUAUGUUAAAUAAUAAGGACUUGAUAAUUCAUUAAAAAAUAUGAACCACUCAAUUGUGAUGGGUGUGGACUCUGCUGCCCAAUGCGCGUUCAAUAUCCCUUUCAUUUCUCUUUUUGUUUUUUCUCCACCGAAACUCCAUCUUCUUUUCAGUGUAAGAAAAAGAUCUAAAAGGCAUCUUGUGUUUGGCUAUUUCCAUGUCACUAUGCACGACAGAAAAAAGAGAGGAUGCUCUUUUUAUUUGUAUGGAUCAAUCAAAGAAUGAACAUUAAAUAUGAAAGUGUGGAUCAAAGAAUGUGUGGAUCCAAGGAGAACAAUGAACAUCCCAAAAGGAGUAUGAAAGUGAUGAAUUAAGAUUUUAUUUGUAUAUUUUUAUAAAAAUUCAAGAAAGAUUUAUAAGUUUAAAUUUUCAGGAAUAUAAACAUGCACUGAUAAAAAUAUAUCAGGUCUAACACUAGUCAAAUAUAGGCACAUUAGGCUUGGUAGUAUACCAAGUCCCGGACAUGCUAAGUCUAGUAGUUUGAAAUGACUUUUUUUUUUCUUAAACACGCUCAAGAUAAUGAUUAUCCUCUCUUGAGUCUAAUAUAUGAGAAUACCUCAUUCUCUAUGAGCAUUAGCUAUAAAAGUCAUUCAAAGACCUUUAUAUUUCAUCAAAUAUUAAUAUAGAUGUACUAUCAUUAAAUGUUAGAAAGAUCUCUUCACAAAAAAAAAAAAGAUUUAUAGGCUAUAAAUAUACAAUGAAACUUUCAGAAUAGAGGUUCACAAUCUUCAUCUUUUACUACAUACAUAAUUUCAAAGCAUCUCUCUCUAGAAUAUUAUUGUAUUUUUUUCCUUUUAAAAAGAUAUUUAUUUUAAGUAUAGAUUUCAUUAUAAAUCAAGGGUAUUAAUAUGAUUUUUAUUAUAGAAAGCAAAAGGCAAAAAACUAUUUGUUAUUAUUUUUAAUUUUAACAACUCUAAUUAAUGGUAUAGCUAUUUGAAUAGCUAAAAUACAUUUCUUCUACUAAAAUACUAUUUUUACAUAUCUACAUACAAAAGCCAACGUCUCUUUAUCUAUGGUUGGCUUUUGUUUUUCUCUUUAAAGACACAACAAGAAGAAGAAAAGAAGCUUGCAAACCUAAAAAUUUUAACAUUAUUAUAUAAAACUAAAAACUGAAACUAUUAAUAUAAAUAAAAUUUGAUUUUAAAAGUGUAAAAUUUAAACCUCAAAUUAUAUCUUUAAACUUUCAUAUUAUUUUAUUAAUUUUAUAAAUUACUCAUAUUAAUUAUAUAAUAAAUAACAUGAUUAUAUUAUAUAAAAAAUAAUUAAACUAGUUAUAUAUAUAAUUAUAUUAAAAUUAGUUUAAUAUAAAAUAUAUUAAAAUAUAAUUACCUUUUUCUAAAUAGCUUUUUACCAUCGGAAUAUAUAUAAAUAAAUAAAAUUAUAUUUAUAUUAUUUAAAAAACUAUUUUAUCAAUUUAAUUUAUACUUUUAAAAAUAACAUUUUUUAUUGGAGUUGCUCGUGUGCAGAAUUAUACAAGGGAGAGAGGAAGGCAACAAAGGGAAAGAGACAAAAGAAGUCCAAACAUAAUAUAACCCCUCUCUUGACAGGAAGGUGCCUCUGCUGCCCAGUGCGCGUUCCAUAUCCCUAUAAUUUCUGGUUUGGGAAAGUGGUUUUAGACCCGUUUGAAAAUUUGAUUUUUUAAAAUUAUUUUUUAUAUAUAUUUUUAAAUUAUUUUGAUGUAUUUAUAUUAAAAUUAUUUUAAAAAUAAUAAUACAUAAAAUUAUUUUAAAAAUAAUAAUACAUAAAAUUAUUUUCAUAAAUUUCGAAAAAUAAAUUUCUUUUAAAAAAUAAUUACUAUUAUAUUUUUAAGCAUUCUGGUAUAAGAUUUGAGAUGAGAUAUUGGUAAGGGGAGAAAAAUUGGUGUUUGAGAUUAGGAAAAAUCAAAGUUGGACUGUUUGCCAUAAAAAUAUUAAAGUUUGAGAUUCUAAAAUCAAUUUAAUAUGAAUUUUUUUUUGUCUUUCGUUAAUUAGUUCCAGUUAAUAGGGUGGCACGUGGCUAAGUUUUUUUUUUAAAAAAAAAAAUCAAUGAGAAUUUAUAAUAUUUAAUAUAAGAGUUUUAUAGUUAAUAAUUUGAAAAUGCAUUAAAAAAUACUUUUCAAUUGUGAUGUGUGGGGCCAAUCCCUGCUCUUGACAGGAAGGUGCCUCUGCUGCCCAAUGCGCGUUCGUUAUCUCUUUCAUUUGUUUUUUCUCUUUUUUCUCCACCAAAACUCCAUCUUCCUUACAGUGUAAGAAAAAGAUCCGUAAGAAAAUCAUUGGAAACUUACCAGUACGAGUUCUUGACCUCAAGAAACCGGAAACAAUUCGAAGUCAUUGGAAUAAAAAGAAAGAAAAGGGCUUUGGAAGUUGGUUACUAAGAUACCAGAACAAGAAAAAAUAUUGAGCCUGGCUGGAUCUUGUGCCUCUUUAGCCAACACUUACCACACGGUUUGUUUCGUCUAGAUUCGUGAAAUACUCGUAGAAAUUUGGUGUUUUCUGAUUUCUAAGUAGAAUUAUACAUGUUCGAGCUUGAAAUUGCUAUUUGGUAGAUUUAAUUGCCAAAUUUCUUGAUCUUACCUUCUGUUUCAUGUUUGACCACAGGAGCAGGCCUUAUACAAAAUAGCGUGGAAAGCAAUUGCUGAACCAAGCGAGCUAGUUGAGGCCAGAAGGGAUCGGUGCUAGUUUAUAGCUUCAGGGAUUUUCAUGGCUUCCAGCAGCGUGCAAGGAAUAACCUCAUCUUCAUCUUCUUCUCCUCCCCUAUAUAUGUAUGAUGUGUUCCUUAGUUUUAGAGGCAAAGACACCCGGAACAACUUUACUAGUCAUCUAUAUUCUAAUCUGAAACAGAAAGGCAU
rnacentral:lncRNA from 1 species